GCCCGUGCCCCUCAGCACUUCCACGAUGGUGGAAACCCUCUCGACCACCUGGAGCGAGACCGUCCGCGGCUUGGCGGCGGCGAGCUCCCCUACUGUGAGGUCCUUCAUCCAGGGCUCCGGCUUGGGCUCCAGGAACGGCAGCCCCUUGAGGUCGAGGAUGAUCUCGUAGAUGCUGGGGUUGAAGGCGUCGCCGACCGUCUUGGCGAUGAGCAGCACGAACAUGGUCAGGGGGAGCAGCAGCAGGUUGUUG
rnacentral:lncRNA from 1 species